rnacentral:lncRNA from 1 species
UAUAAUGUGAAAUAUAGAUUCUAAAUUAUUAAAAUGAUCCAUAACUAAAUUAAUAAAAUAAAACUAAGUAAAAAUAAUAAUAUAAUAAAUUAUAAAAUAAAAUAAAACCAAAUGAUAAAAAGAAAAAUAAAAUAAACCAGAUAAUACUUAUUUUAAACAGAUAUAUAAAAUUUUAAAUAAAAUAAAACUAAUUAUAAAACAAAUAUAUAAAACUUAGGGUUAAAUACACUUUACCCCCUGUAAUGUUAGCGAGUUUAGGGUUACCCCCCUGGUAAAGUUAUUUUUUC